rnacentral:lncRNA from 1 species
UCUCGCCGCCAGAUCUCAGACACACACUCUCACUCUCUCUCCCUCACCUUCCAUAAUGCAGCUCCUCCGGCCACUGCUCGCGGCGGCGCUGCUCCUCCUCGCCACCCUCUCCGACGCGCACAACAUCACCAGCAUCCUCGCAAAGCACCCCGAGCUCUCCACCUUCAACCACUACCUCACCCUCACCCACCUCGCCCCCGAAAUCAACGGCAAAACCACCAUCACCGUCUGCGCCGUCGACAACGCCGCCAUGUCGGACCUUCUCUCGAAGCACCCCUCCAUCUACACCGUCAAGAACGUCCUCUCCCUCCACGUCCUCCUCGACUACUUCGGCGCCAAGAAGCUCCACCAGAUCACCAACGGCACCGCCCUCGCCGCCACAAUGUACCAAGCCACCGGCACCGCCCCCGG